rfam:Lucilia cuprina strain LS Scaffold472, whole genome shotgun sequence.
AUUAUGUCUACUCUAAUGCUGUGUUAUGUACUUUAAUCAAUUGACUAUAGCCUCGCUUGUAGACAAGAGCAAUCUUGUUUUAUUAUCCUGGCGCUUGAAGUAAUAGAACAUUUCAAUGUGCCCGAGAAACGUAGAACUACAUUU